AUUGAACGCUGGCGGCAUGCUUUACACAUGCAAGUCGAACGGUAACAGGUUAAGCUGACGAGUGGCGAACGGGUGAGUAAUGCAUCGGAACGUGCCCAGUCGUGGGGGAUAACGCAGCGAAAGCUGUGCUAAUACCGCAUACGAUCUCUGGAUGAAAGCGGGGGACCGAAAGGCCCCGCGCGAUUGGAGCGGCCGAUGUCAGAUUAGGUAGUUGGUGGGGUAAAGGCCCACCAAGCCAACGAUCUGUAGCUGGUCUGAGAGGACGACCAGCCAAGCUGGGACUGAGACACGGCCCAGACUCCUACGGGAGGCAGCAGUGGGGAAUUUUGGACAAUGGGGGUAACCCUGAUCCAGCAAUGCCGCGUGCAGGAAGAAGGCCUUCGGGUUGUAAACUGCUUUUGUACGGAACGAAAAGCUCUGGGCUAAUGCCUUGGGGUCAUGACGGUACCGUAAGAAUAAGCACCGGCUAACUACGUGCCAGCCGCCGCCGUAA
rnacentral:rRNA from 1 species